CAGGGAUACAACAAAGACACUCAAAACAGUGGAAUUGCUUUGUGAUCAGUUAGGAUUUGUAGGCAGUGGCUACAGGUCCUUCCAUGCAAAUACAGGUCCUUCCAAAGCAAAUAAAAAGCACAGAGAGGCUGUCUGUGUUUGAGUCAGCAAACCAAAGUCUGUUGUCUUGUUUUACUUAUAAAUACAGACUAUUCAACCAACUCUAUCAAGUUUGGUUCAAUUUAAAGGAAAGGAUGAACAGAGCAAGCAGGAAUAUUUGUCUACAUCCAGUUCAACUUGACAAAGAUAUUGCCUGUGAUUUUCUGCUCAAAGUUUAAUUGCUGUCUUUGGCUCAAUUACCAGAACUCCGCCUACAGUGAAAGAUACACUGAAGAUUUCAGAUCAGGAGAAGUGCCAACCUGCUGAGAUGUCAGCCCACACAUUGCUAACUCGGGACUGGAAAAACUCGUUGUUCUCACGAGAGUGAGGGCCGCAGUGACCUCACCAGAUGCCUGAAGUACGGAAACAGCUCUGCCAAUACCAUUACUUUUCAGAGCCACUGUAAAAGAUUUUGUUAUUUUUGCAGAAGUUCUGCAAUGUUAGAACUACAGGACUUCAGUUAGAUUGUAAGGCAUGAGAGCACUCAAUUUUCUAUGUAUUGAAAAAAGAAAGGUUAAUGGGCUAUUUUAAUACUGCAGAAGAAUCGUCUUAGUCUUGAAAAUGGCUACAGCUACUGAAGAGACUAACCUGAGGUUUCUGUAUGAACUAGGAUAUUUGAG
ensembl:lncRNA